AUCUUGAGAGUUUAUAAAAUAUUUUUUUUUUUUUUUUUUUUUUUUUUUUUGAGACGGAGUCUUGCUCUGUGCCCCAGGCUGGAGUGCAGUAGCGCGAUCUCGGCUCACUGCAAGCUCCGCCCCCCCGGGUUCACGCCAUUCUCCUGCCUCAGCCUCCCGAGUAGCUCGGACUACAGGCGCCCGCCACCUCGCCCGGCUAAUUUUCUUAUAAAUUUUAUAUGUUUAUUGUUAUAUAUCAGAAGUGUAAUGCUUCACUGGUACCCUUCAGUAUUCCUAAUAAUUCUCAAUUGCAGUUUCUACUAUGUAGUAAUACUUUGUAUUUUAUUCAAAUCAACCUUUAUAUAUAUAUUUUUGUUUGUUUGUUUGCUUUUCUAACUCUCUGAGAAUAGAUUUUCAGCAUUUAAAAAGCUAUUGCAUUUAUUGAAGACUAGUGGCUCUCAAUUGAUAAUGUACACAAAACUCAACUGGGAAACAUUUAAAAUGUAUGUUUCUUAUUCUCAGCAGAAAUUCUGACUCAACAGGAUUUGGGUUAGAAACUGAGAAUUUUCAUUUUUCACACAUAUGUCAACUGGUUGUGAUGCAAUAGGUCUUCCAUUAAUCCUUGGAAAACAGCCUUGGGCCAUCCAUUUUGAUGAUUUUUAAUUUCCUGAAUUGUUAGUUUUUUUCAUGUGCUAGAAAACUUUCCACUAGUCUGCAUUAUUUGGGGGAAGUGGAGUAAGUAGUCCAGGCAAGGUUAGUAUUCUUUGUUACUUGAACUUAAUUACUUGAUUUUGCUGUUUAAUUACUUUGUUAUUUCAGAAGAUGUAGUAGACUUUUUUAAGGUAUUAAAAAUAAAUAAUUCUUGAAAUUCCCCUGGCUUCUGUGACACUACCUACCUCUUAAUUCUUCUUGGUUUCUCUUUCUGCACUUCUGUCUUAAGCCCAUUUUCUCUUCCCAUCAUAUACAUUUUUUCCUAGGUGACAUCAGUCUGCAGUUUCAACUAUGGUCAAUAUAAUGACAACCCCUAAUUUCUG
rnacentral:lncRNA from 1 species